ensembl:snRNA U6 U6 spliceosomal RNA
GUGCCUGCUUUGGCAGCACAUAUACUACAAUUGGAAUGGUACAGAGACUAGCAUGGCCACUGUGCAAGGAUUUUGUGCUAAUCUGUGAAGUGUUUCAUAAUUUU